AACGAACGCUGGCGGCAGGCCUAACACAUGCAAGUCGAGCGAGGACUUCGGUUCUAGCGGCGGACGGGUGAGUAACGCGUGGGAAUGUGCCCUUCUCUACGGACUAGCCCUGGGAAACUGGGAGUAAUACCGUAUACGCCCUAUUGGGGAAAGAUUUAUCGGAGAAGGAUCAGCCCGCGUUGGAUUAGGUAGUUGGUGGGGUAAUGGCCUACCAAGCCGACGAUCCAUAGCUGGUUUGAGAGGAUGAUCAGCCACACUGGGACUGAGACACGGCCCAGACUCCUACGGGAGGCAGCAGUGGGGGAUCUUAGACAAUGGGGGCAAGCCUGAUCUAGCCAUGCCGCGUGAGUGAUGAAGGCCUUAGGGUUGUAAAGCUCUUUCAGCUGGGAAGAUAAUGACGGUACCAGCAGAAGAAGCCCCGGCUAACUCCGUG
rnacentral:rRNA from 1 species